rnacentral:rRNA from 1 species
UACGUAGGGGGCUAGCGUUGUCCGGAAUCAUUGGGCGUACAGCGCGUGUAGGCGGCCCGGUAAGUCCGCUGUGAAAGUCGGGGGCUCAACCCUCGGAUGCCGGUGGAUACUGUCGGGCUUGAGUACGGAAGAGGCGAGUGGAAUUCCUGGUGUAGCGGUGAAAUGCGCAGAUAUCAGGAGGAACACCUAUUGCGAAGGCAGCUCGCUGGGACGUGACUGACGCUGAGACGCGAAAGCGUGGGGAGCAAACAGG